GGUAUUAAAGACGCUUUUAAUACCACCAUUGGCUAUAUUUAAAGCUUAUUACGGCAGCUUUCCGUAAGCAGAAUGAGUCAAACGAUUUCCGUCAAAUCCAUAAAUCGCGUGUCAACACGGAAGAACUGUCCAUGGUUCCUGAGGAAAUAAGGUGAGAGUAACUUCCAUGUUACACAGAGACUGCUGGCAGAAUGACUGAAGAAAGCUGCGUCGGCGAAAAUGAGAGGUAUUCCUCUAACGACAGCUCACGUGAAACUUGUAUUUUUUGCUCGAUCGCAAACGACGACCAUAAACUCAGAUAUUGGUUGAUGAUAAGGACAUGGUUUGCUUCCAGGACAUUUUUCCAAGCGCACCUCAUCACUACCUGGUUAUACCAAGGAAACAUAUCCAUAGUUGUUUGUCACUCAAAGUGGAUGAUAUCAGUCUAUGUAAGGGGAUGUUUUUUCAGGGAUGCAUUUGAUUAUUAGAGUGAGAAUCCUUAUUUUGCUAAAAGACUGUUUUGUGUUUAUUUGUAGCCAGCAGGGGGCAGUAAUAGUGUAGGCUUUAAAAAAAGCAUUUUGAGGAUAGGCCUAAUUCACAGACUCACAGAAUAACAGUUGUGGCUAAUUACCAGUAAACUUGUAUGGUGGUCAGAACCAAUUGGUUCUGAGCUGGUCCUGAAACCAAGUCAACAAAAUGAAGAAUCCAGCCCUGGCUUACUUUGCAUUGAUUAGACUAAACAAUCAUGAUACGGUGGGCGUUUUUAGUAAUUGAUUAGGUAAAAAAAAACAUGCAUGUAAACGAGAAAAUAAAGGGCCUUUUACUUACAAUAGUUAAGUAAGAAUGUGAUUUUCCUGAACAUUGAGGAGGAUGGAAGAGAUGGGAAAAGCUGUAUUGAAAGCCAAGAAUGUCACAGAUUUUGAAGACAUCAGGGUUCCACAUUCCACCAAAUAUCACUGUCCCGCACCUGCACCUGCACGUUCUUGCACCUUUCAGUCAACUGUAUAUAGAGACGAGGUUCAAGUACAUAAAUAAAUCGUACCUCACUACCAGCACGUACUACACCACCAAGCCCCUGGCUGUCUGACAUCCUUCUUGAACAUCGGGCUGACCUCGGGGCAGCUGAGAGUAGAUGGCAGAAAUCUAAAGAUCCAGCAGAUCUAGAACAAGCUGCUGGAUGACAAUCAGUCAGGCUUCAAAAGUGGACACUCCACCAAGACUGCCCUGCUGUCUGUCACUGAGUCGCUGAGACAAGCUAGAGCUGAAUCCAGAUCAUCCGUUCUAAUUCUGCUGGACCUUUCUGCAGCCUUUGACACAGUCAACCAUCAGAUCCUACUCUCCACCCUCUAUACUCUGGGCAUCACAGGAACUGUGCUUGACUGGUUUAACUCCUAUCUCUCAGCCCAACGACACCACAGUGACUGCUCGAAUCUCUGCCUGCCUGGCAGACAUCUUGGCCUGGAUGAAGGAACACCACCUGCAACUCAACCCAGCCAAGACCGAACUCCUUGUCUUUCCAGCCAACCCUGCUGUUGAACACAACAUCACCAUGCAGCUGGGUACAACUAAAGUAUCGCCUUCCAAAACGGUCAGAAAUCUAGGGGUAGCCGUUGAUAACAAGCAAAAUUUCACAGACCACAUCUCAAAGACUGCAAGAUCAUGUAGAUUUACAUUCUACAAUAUCAGGAAGAUAAGACCCUUUCUCUCUGAACAUGCCACACAACUGCUUGAUCAGUCACUUGUCAUAACUAGACUGGACUACUGUAACUCUCUCAUUGCAGGCCUCCCUGCAUUUGCAAUUAGACCUCUGCAAAUGAUCCAGAAUGCAGCAGCACGUCUGGUCUUUAAUGAACCAAAGAGAGCACAAGUUACACCACUCUUUGUCUCUCUCCACAGGCUGCCUGUUGAUGCACAUAUUAAAUUCAAGGCUCUGAUGCUGGCAUACAAAACAGUCACUGGGUCUGCCCCAGCAUACUUAAAAUAUUUCUGCAGAACUACAUGCCCACCAGAAGCCUACAGUCAGCUAAGGAACGUCGCCUUGUCGUACCAGCACAAAGAGGCACCAAAUCACUUUCCCGGACUUUCAGUUUCAUCAUACCACGUUGGUGGAAUGACCUUCUGAACUCCAUCCGUGAAGCUGACUUACUCUCUGUCUUAAAAAACAUCCAUGAGCACUUAAAUAGUCACUACAAAAAAUAAUUCUUAUUGCUCUUUAAUCUGUUUUGUAUACUAUUCUGAUGCUAGUGCAACUUUGUAAUAUGGCACUUUUCGUACCACUGUCUCUUUAAGAUGAUUCGCUUAUGUUUUCCUCUUUUGUAAGUCGCUUUGGAUAAAAGCAUCUGCCAAAUGAAUAAAUGUAAAUUUAGGUGAUAAUUCGGGUAUGUCAGCUUUUUUGAAAGACUUGGAUAUUUCGACAAUUAACAGAGCAGCCAAUCGACCUGCAAGAGAUUUUCAACUCAACAUUAGUGUAAUGUAAAAUGGUAAAACCCCUGGCCCCAACAGCUAUCCUGUGGAAUUUUAUAAAGCUUUUUUUUUUUUUCAAAAUUAGCCCCACUUCUUCUAAAAAUGUUUGAAAACUUUUUAAAUAAUGCAAAAUUACCACAGACACUUUACAGAAGCAUUCAUCACACUUCUUUUGAAGUUCAGACCAAUGUCUUUGUUAAAUGUUGAUGUAAAAAUACUUUCCAUAUUGUUAGCAUCUAGCAUUAAUACUAUUAUACCAGAAAUUGUCUCUCCAGAU